rnacentral:rRNA from 1 species
UGAGGAAUAUUGGUCAAUGGACGAGAGUCUGAACCAGCCAAGUAGCGUGAAGGAUGACUGCCCUAUGGGUUGUAAACUUCUUUUAUAUGGGAAUAAAGUGAGCCACGUGUGGCUUUUUGUAUGUACCAUACGAAUAAGGAUCGGCUAACUCCGUGCCAGCAGCCGCGGUAAUACGGAGGAUCCGAGCGUUAUCCGGAUUUAUUGGGUUUAAAGGGAGCGUAGGCGGACUAUUAAGUCAGCUGUGAAAGUUUGCGGCUCAACCGUAAAAUUGCAGUUGAUACUGGUCGUCUUGAGUGCAGUAGAGGUAGGCGGAAUUCGUGGUGUAGCGGUGAAAUGCUUAGAUAUCACGAAGAACUCCGAUUGCGAAGGCAGCUUACUGGACUGUAACUGACGCUGAUGCUCGAAAGUGUGGGUAUCAAACAGG